AUCAGCAACUUUCACCGGAGUUGGAUCUCUUCAUGAAACAGAGGCUCCAAAAUUAUGAGUUAAAACGAAGCAAAAUCGCUUUUUGUGUUUUCAAAAUCACACAAAGGAACCUAUGAUGGAGAGUGUCCCUUCUACUGCUCUUACUCAGGCUAUAAUGAUGAACUUAUGUGGUUAGCAACAUGGUUAUACAUGGCUACGAGGAAGCCUGCGUAUUUGAAGUACAUACAAGAAGAAUCGAUAAGUGCUAG